UAAUGAGAAUUCUUGGUGACUAUUUCUG
rnacentral:sRNA from 1 species